AGCAAAGCCGUUGCGAGGAUCAAAUUGUGAACCAGGUCAGGUGGGGAACCAAGCAGCCUUAAACUCUUUGAUCCUGUGCGACGGUUUUUCCUUU
rnacentral:SRP_RNA from 1 species